rnacentral:rRNA from 1 species
UACAGAGGUCCCAAGCGUUGUUCGGAUUCACUGGGCGUAAAGGGUGCGUAGGUGGCCUAAAAAGUUUGAUGUGAAGCUCAGGGCUUAACCCUGAAAUGGCAUUGAAUACUGUUGGGCUGGAGGUUUGGAGGGGGGACUGGAAUUCUUGGUGUAGCAGUGAAAUGCGUAGAUAUCAAGAGGAACACCAGUGGCGAAGGCGAGUCCCUGGACAACACCUGACACUGAGGCACGAAAGCCGGGGGAGCAAACAGG